rnacentral:rRNA from 1 species
CCCUUAGAUGUCCUGGGCCGCGCGCGCUACACUGAGUGUCUGAGAUACGAGUCUGCCUGGUCCGGCAAGGUCUAGGUAAUCGCUAAAAGACACAUCAUGCUUGGGAUAGAUUAUUGCAAAUAUUAAUCUUGAACGAGGAAUUCCUAGUAAGCGCAAGUCAACAGCUUGCGUUGAUUACGUCCCUGCCCUUUGUACACACCGCCCGUCGCUACUACUGAUUGGAUGUUUAAGCGAGGUUCUCGAACUGCUAGCGACUUAGCUUCGGUGAGGUCGCAGUGUGGGAAGUGAACCUAGCUUUGGUGUCUAGAGGAAGUAAAAGUCGUAACA